rnacentral:piRNA from 1 species
UGUGCUGAGUUUCUAGGAUUGAAUGA